CAAAUAUUAAACAAAUAGGGAUUUAAUUAGUAAAGGAAAAGAAAAACACCAUGUCUGGUGUUGGGAUCGAUCGAACAAGGGCAGGGAGAGGGUGAAUAACCCUAAACUCAAGAAAUCAAGAAUUGAAGCUAAAAUCGCAAGGAAAAUUCGAUGCAUGAGCCCUUCUUUGCGAAAAUCUAACCCUAAUUAUUGAAGUGGCGUGAAAGAAGAAGGUACAAGCACUAAGCAAGCGGAAGGAGCACAAGAUCGAGGUAAAGCACCUCUAUAGGCGAUAUGGAGAUAUGGAACGAGCACAUGUUCAAGCCUUAUAAUACCAAGCGCUUCCGCAACUUAUU